AACACAUGCAAGUCGAACGGGAAAGUGGAGCAAUCCAUGAGUAUAGUGGCGACCGGGUGAGUAACACGUGACUACCUGCCCUUGAGUGGGGGAUAACCUCGGGAAACCGAGGCUAAUACCGCAUAAUAUCGAAAGAUCAAAGGAGCAAUCCGCUUUUGGAGGGGGUCGCGGCUGAUUAGCUAGUUGGUAAGGUAAUGGCUUACCAAGGCGAAGAUCGGUAUCCGGCCUGAGAGGGCGCACGGACACACUGGAACUGAAACACGGUCCAGACUCCUACGGGAGGCAGCAGUGGGGAAUUUUGCGCAAUGGGGGAAACCCUGACGCAGCAACGCCGCGUGGAGGAUGAAGCCCCUUGGGGCGUAAACUCCUUUCGACUGGGAAGAUUAUGACGGUACCAGUGGAAGAAGCACCGGCUAACUCUGUGCCAGCAGCCGCGGUAAUACAGAGGGUGCGAGCGUNGUUCGGAAUUAUUGGGCGUAAAGGGCGCGUAGGCGGUGCGGUAAGUCACCUGUGAAAUCCCCGGGCUUAACUCGGGGCCUGCAGGCGAAACUGCCGUGCUGGAGGGUGGGAAAGGUGCGUGGAA
rnacentral:rRNA from 1 species